GCCUGGCCGUAACAAAGCACCUCGCCCGCCAAAUAACUACGAGUGAAAACUUAAAAUUUAAAGGACUUGACGGUACUUCACACUCAACCUAGAGGAGCCUGUCUACUAACCGAUAAUCCACGAUUAACCCAACCACUUCAAGCCACUCAGUUUAUAUACCGCCGUCGCCAGCCUACCUUGUAAAAGAAACAAAGUACGCCCAACAGCCACACGCUAGUACGACAGGUCAAGGUGUAACUAAUGAAAUGGACCAAGAUGGGCUACAUUUUCUAACCUAGAAAAAACGAAUAAUACUAUGAAAUAAUCUUUGAAGGCGGAUUUAGCAGUAAGCUGAGAACAACCUACUCAACUGAAAUCAAUGCAAUGAAGUGCGU
rnacentral:rRNA from 1 species